UGUAUUGUAUGUAUCCAUCACACAGUGUCUUUAUCCUGUCAGCAUUUAAUGUUAUCUCUUUGCUAGGAAUGUAGCCGCGAAGGUUAAUUAACCAUAUUAGGACUUCCUAUUCUUACAUGUGUUAUGGCUUUCUCGAUCAUCUGUCUCUCCCAUGAAUUCUCUCAGAAACCUCCGUAUACCUAAUAUUAUAGGCUAGAGAUUAUACCAAAUAUUUGAGUGACGGAAGGAGGGGUGCAACCCCCCCCCCCCCUAUAUUAUGUGCUUACGGACUACUGAAUAAACUAGAGUGAAUUUGACCAGACAAACUGUUGUUACGUGUUAUUUCUGGUAGAUUCAUUCUCCUGGAUCCAGAUAAAGACUUAAAUCAAGCUAACCACCGAAGUUCGGUACCAGGGGUACCUAGAUAAGAUCAGAUCUCCUUACAAUCUGGGGGCUCGUCCGGGAUCGAGAAAGUCAUCCCUGGAUCCGUAUGAGGGAUAUCUGUUUUAACCUCUGCUGAUCCGAGGGCACUGACAGCGUCUCGAUCCAAGAACCAACUCACCCAUUCCGGGUAGGAGACCAGGUGAUUGUCAAGGCCCUCCAGAAGGGAAAGAAGCCGGGGAGCUUCAUCUACGGACAACUCACCGAGGCCAUCACCAGAACAGCGGUCCUCACUGAGCAGUCACCCACCUGGAUCCACGCCACAAGGAUCAAGCUGUUAAAGAAAAGAGAGGUACUAACGGAGGCAGACAGCCUUGACCUCGAAAAAGGCGGAAAAGGGGUACAAACGGGGGCAGACAGCCCUGACCCCCAACUAGGCGAAGAAGGGGUACAAACGGGGGCAGACAGCCCUGACCCCCAACUAAGCGAAAGUCUCCAUGAGUUCUGGCAGUUAAUUUCUAAUAAUGACACUGAUUGCGGAACCUGGAAAAUGAAAUACCCUUUGCUAACAGAGACCCCACACUCAGGGGCAGGUAUACACAUAUACCCAGGGAAUUACACAUGCUAUAGGGGAGAAAAGGAAGAUAUCAAUAGAAAGAACUUUACAAAGAGAUAUUGUGCUAGUUAUAGCUCUGUAGAAGUGUCACUCACUCAGAACCAAGUUUUUUCAAUAGGUGACAUUUACUGGAUCUGUGGCGAUGGUAAAAUAAGGUUCAAGCUCGAGGACAAGUGGAAAGGAGAGUGUGUUCUAGCUAAAGCCAUUAUGAACAUUCUCAUAUUCGCAGAAGGGGGAGAACACGUAAACUCUGCCACAAAAAGGAUAAAGAGGUCAACACCUGCAGGUAGCUUCCAUCCACAUGUAUACAUAGACACAAUAGGGGUCCCAAGAGGGGUCCCUGAUGAGUUCAAAGCCAGGAGUCAAGUAGCUGCGGGCUUUUAAUCUAUCCUUUCUAUAAUCACUGUGAACAAAAAUGUAGACUGGAUUAAUUACAUUUACUAUAAUCAACAAAGGUUUGUAAACUACACAAGGGAUGCGUU